AGUGGCGUACGGGUGAGUAACGCGUGGAUAAUCUACCUCCGAAUCUGGGAUAACACUUCGAAAGGGGUGCUAAUACCGGAUGACAUCAUGGGGACNNNNAGGAGAGUGCGGGAAAAGGGGGCCUCUGUAUAUGCUCCUGUCGCUAGAUGAGUCCGCGUCCCAUUAGCUAGUUGGUAGGGUAAUGGCCUACCAAGGCGACGAUGGGUAGCUGGUCUGAGAGGAUGAUCAGCCACACUGGAACUGAGACACGGUCCAGACUCCUACGGGAGGCAGCAGUGAGGAAUUUUGCGCAAUGGGGGAAACCCUGACGCAGCAACGCCGCGUGAGUGAUGAAGGCCUUCGGGUCGUAAAGCUCUGUCAAGUGGGAAGAACCCUUUUGAGGUAAAUAGCCUCGAGAGCUGACGGUACCAGUGAAGGAAGCACCGGCUAACUCCGUGCCAGCAGCCGCGGUAAUACGGAGGAUCCAAGCGUUAUCCGGAUUUACUGGGUUUAAAGGGUGCGUAGGCGGAUUGAUAAGUCAGUGGUGAAAGCCUGCAGCUUAACUGCAGAACUGCCAUUGAUACUGCCAGUCUGGAGUAUGGUUGAGGUAGCUGGAAUGUGUCAUGUAGCGGUGAAAUGCUUAGAGAUGACACAGAACACCGACGGCGAAGGCAGGUUACCAACCCAUUACUGACGCUGAGGCACGAAAGCGUGGGGAUCAAACAGGAUUAGAUACCCUGGUAGUCCACGCCGUAAACGAUGGGUACUAGGUGUUGCGGGUAUUGACCCCUGCAGUGCCGAAGCUAACGCAUUAAGUACCCCGCCUGGGGAGUACGGUCGCAAGACUAAAACUCAAAGGAAUUGACGGGGGCCCGCACAAGCGGUGGAGCAUGUGGUUUAAUUCGACGCAACGCGAAGAACCUUACCUGGGCUUGACAUCUCCCUCUGAAUGGCGCUUAGCAGCGCAGGUCUUUCGGGACAGAGGAGACAGGUGGUGCAUGGUUGUCGUCAGCUCGUGUCGUGAGAUGUUGGGUUAAGUCCCGCAACGAGCGCAACCCUUGCCUUUAGUUGCCAGCAUGUAAUGAUGGGGACUCUAAAGAGACUGCCGGUGUUAAACCGGAGGAAGGUGGGGAUGACGUCAAGUCCUCAUGGCCCUUAUGUCCAGGGCUACACACGUGCUACAAUGGCCGGUACAAAGGGCAGCAAAGCCGCGAGGUGGAGCCAAUCCCAAAAAGCCGGUCUCAGUUCGGAUUGGAGUCUGCAACUCGACUCCAUGAAGUUGGAAUCGCUAGUAAUCGUGGAUCAGCACGCCACGGUGAAUGCGUUCCCGGGUCUUGUACACACCGCCCGUCACACCAUGGAAGUUGGUAAUACCCAAAGUCGCUGGGCUAACC
rnacentral:rRNA from 1 species